rnacentral:lncRNA from 1 species
GCGAAUUGAGUGUUGAUUGUGAUUAAUAUGGAUUCUUUAUAAAUUUCUAAGUGUGGAAAUUGAUGGACGAUUGGCCGUGAUAUGCCACCUAUUAGAGGUCGCGCCCAGUGGGGCCGUUAUAUGCCACCUAUUAGAGGUCGCGCCCAGUGGGGCCGUGAUAUGCCACCUAUUAAAGGUCGCGCCCGAUGGGGCCGUGAUAUGCCACCUGAUAAAGGUCGCGCCCAGUGGGGCCGUUAUAUGCCACCUAUUAGAGGUCGCGCCCAAUGGGGCCGUGAUAUGCCACCUGAUAAAGGUCGCGCCCAGUGGGGCCGUUAUAUGCCACCUAUUAGAGGUCGCGCCCAAUGGGGCCGUGAAUUGCCACCUGUUAAAGGUCGCGCCGAGUAGGGCCGUAGUUGAGAGCAAUGAUUGAUUUGCUAGAAUGACAUGUAAUCGGCCGAGUCGAUUGAUCGCUGAGACGAUCCAAGUGGUUGAAUUGUUUUGAUAA